UACACUCCUACGGGAGGCAGCAGUGGGGAAUUUUGGACAAUGGGCGAAAGCCUGAUCCAGCAAUGCCGCGUGAGUGAAGAAGGCCUUCGGGUUGUAAAGCUCUUUUGUCAGGGAAGAAACGGUGAAAGCUAAUAUCUUUUGCUAAUGACGGUACCUGAAGAAUAAGCACCGGCUAACUACGUGCCAGCAGCCGCGGUAAUACGUAGGGUGCAAGCGUUAAUCGGAAUUACUGGGCGUAAAGCGUGCGCAGGCGGUUUUGUAAGUCUGAUGUGAAAUCCCCGGGCUCAACCUGGGAAUUGCAUUGGAGACUGCAAGGCUAGAAUCUGGCAGAGGGGGGUAGAAUUCCACGUGUAGCAGUGAAAUGCGUAGAUAUGUGGAGGAACACCGAUGGCGAAGGCAGCCCCCUGGGUCAAGAUUGACGCUCAUGCACGAAAGCGUGGGGAGCAAACAGGAUUAGAUACCCCGGUAGUCCCAUGAU
rnacentral:rRNA from 1 species